GAUGAACGCUGGCGGCGUGCCUAAUACAUGCAAGUAGAACGCUGAAGGAGGAGCUUGCUCUUCUGGAUGAGUUGCGAACGGGUGAGUAACGCGUAGGUAACCUGCCUGGUAGCGGGGGAUAACUAUUGGAAACGAUAGCUAAUACCGCAUGACAACAGUUAUUGCAUGAUAACUGUUUAAAAGGGGCAACUGCUCCACUACCAGAUGGACCUGCGUUGUAUUAGCUAGUUGGUGAGGUAACGGCUCACCAAGGCGACGAUACAUAGCCGACCUGAGAGGGUGAUCGGCCACACUGGGACUGAGACACGGCCCAGACUCCUACGGGAGGCAGCAGUAGGGAAUCUUCGGCAAGGGACGGAAGUCUGACCGAGCAACGCCGCGUGAGUGAAGAAGGUUUUCGGAUCGUAAAGCUCUGUUGUAAGAGAAGAACGAGUGUGAGAGUGGAAAGUUCACACUGUGACGGUAUCUUAACAGAAAGGGACGGCUAACUACGUG
rnacentral:rRNA from 1 species